UGGCUAGGGGAGAUGAGACAAGAAAGAUCGAAUAAUAAGUGUAGAGUACACGAGCGGCGGACGGGUGAGUAACGCGUGGGAAUCUACCCCAAACUGAGGGAUAAGCACCGGAAACGGUGUCUAAUACCGCAUAUGGUCUUCGGAUUAAAGCUUCGGCGGUUUGGGAAGAGCCCGCGUAAGAUUAGCUAGUUGGUGAGGUAAUAGCUCACCAAGGCGACGAUCUUUAACUGGUUUGAGAGGAUGAUCAGUCACACUGGAACUGAGACACGGUCCAGACUCCUACGGGAGGCAGCAGUAAGGAAUUUUCCACAAUGGGCGAAAGCCUGAUGGAGCAACGCCGCGUGCAGGAUGAAGGCCCUAGGGUUGUAAACUGCUUUUAUAUGUGACGAAUAUGACGGUAGCAUAUGAAUAAGGAUCGGCUAACUCCGUGCCAGCAGCCGCGGUCAUACGGAGGAUCCAAGCGUUAUCCGGAUUUACUGGGCGUAAAGAGUUGCGUAGGUGGUUUGUUAAGCAAAUAAUGAAAUCGUGUGGCUCAACCAUAUCGACUAUUAUUUGAACUGGCAAACUUGAGAAUGAGAGAGGUGGCUGGAAUUCCCUGUGUAGGAGUGAAAUCCGUAGAUAUAGGGAGGAACACCGAUGGCGUAGGCAGGUGACUGGCUCGUUUCUGACACUGAG
rnacentral:rRNA from 1 species